rnacentral:rRNA from 1 species
AGAAUCAACGCUGGCGGCGUGCCUAACACAUGCAAGUCGCACGAGAAAGGGACUUCGGUCCUGAGUACAGUGGCGCACGGGUGAGUAACACGUGAAUCAUCUACCUCCGAGUGGGGAAUAACCUAGAGAAAUCUGGGCUAAUACCGCAUAACACUUACGAGUCAAAGCAGCAAUGCGCUUGGAGAGGAGUUCGCGGCAGAUUAGUUAGUUGGCAGGGUAAUGGCCCACCAAGACGAUGAUCUGUA